rnacentral:rRNA from 1 species
AGAGACAGCAGUAGCCACGGGAAUACGGAGGGUGCAAGCGUUAUCCGGAUUUAUUGGGUUUAAAGGGUCCGUAGGCGGAUCUGUAAGUCAGUGGUGAAAUCUCACAGCUUAACUGUGAAACUGCCAUUGAUACUGCAGGUCUUGAGUAAAUUUGAAGUGGCUGGAAUAAGUAGUGUAGCGGUGAAAUGCAUAGAUAUUACUUAGAACACCAAUUGCGAAGGCAGGUCACUAAGAUUUAACUGACGCUGAUGGACGAAAGCGUGGGGAGCGAACAGGAUUAGAUACCCGAGUAGUCCCUGUCUCUUAUAC